rnacentral:snRNA from 1 species
AGCUUUGCACAGUGGCAGCAUCAUAGCCAAUGAGGUUUAUUCGAGGCGUGAUUAUUGCUAAUUAAAAACUUUUCUCGGGGGGUGGGAGUGAAUGGGUGACGGGCACUGGGUAUUAUUCUGUAUGUUAGUAAAUUGA